rnacentral:rRNA from 1 species
UACGUAGGUGGCAAGCGUUGUCCGGAUUUAUUGGGUUUAAAGGGUGCGUAGGCGGUCUUUUAAGUCAGUGCUGAAAUACUCCAGCUUAACUGGAGGGGUGGCAUUGAUACUGGGAGACUUGAGUAUAGUUGAGGUAGGCGGAAUUGACGGUGUAGCGGUGAAAUGCGCAGAUAUCAGGAGGAACACCGAUGGCGAAGGCAGGUCUCUGGGCAUUAACUGACGCUGAGGAGCGAAAGCAUGGGGAGCGAACAGG